GACGUAGGGCGCGAGCGUUGUCCGGAUUUAUUGGGCGUAAAGAGCUCGUAGGCGGCUUGUCGCGUCGAAAUGUGAAAACUUGGGGGCUCAACUCCAAGCUUCAUUCGAUACGGGCAGGCUAGAGUUCGGUAGGGGGAGGACUGGAAUUCCAUGGUGGUAGCGGUGAAAUGCGCAGAUAUCAGGAGGAACACCGGUGGCGAAGGCGGGUCUCUGGGCCGAUACUGACGCUGAGGAGCGAAAGCGUGGGAGCGAACAGG
rnacentral:rRNA from 1 species